rnacentral:tRNA from 1 species
GCCAAUGUGGUGCAGUGGUUAGAAUGCUAGGCUGGGAUCUGGGAGAACCAGGUUCGAAUCCCUGCUCUGCCA